CUUUUACAAUGAAGAGUUUGAUCCUGGCUCAGGAUGAACGCUAGCUACAGGCUUAACACAUGCAAGUCGAGGGGCAGCAUUUUAGUUUGCUUGCAAACUGAAGAUGGCGACCGGCGCACGGGUGAGUAACACGUAUCCAACCUGCCGAUAACUCCGGAAUAGCCUUUCGAAAGAAAGAUUAAUACCGGAUAGUAUACGAAUAUCGCAUGAUAUUUUUAUUAAAGAAUUUCGGUUAUCGAUGGGGAUGCGUUCCAUUAGUUUGUUGGCGGGGUAA
rnacentral:rRNA from 1 species